UACAGAGGGUGCAAGCGUUAAUCGGAUUUACUGGGCGUAAAGGGCGCGUAGGUGGUUAGGUAAGUAAGAUGUGAAAUCCCCGGGCUUAACCUGGGAACUGCGUCUUAAACUGCUUAGCUUGAGUACAAUAGAGGGUAGUGGAAUUUCCGGUGUAGCGGUGAAAUGCGUAGAUAUCGGAAGGAACACCAGUGGCGAAGGCGGCUACCUGGAUUGAUACUGACACUGAGGCGCGAAAGCGUGGGGGAGCAAACAGG
rnacentral:rRNA from 1 species